rnacentral:siRNA from 1 species
CAUAUUGUUUUUUAUGGGUCC